GAAUAAUUCUGUCUUUUUUGUUUUUGUUUCCACGUAUUAAAUGUUAUGCCACUUGCCACACCUUAAUUUAAAACAUUCUCCUGAAUAUUUCCUUAUCUCUUCAGCUCCCUGAAAGUGAUCCACACUCAGCUGCUGACAGAUUUUCGGGACAAGAGUGAAGCCAUUAAGCUCACCACCAGAUGUAUCGCCCUUGACGUCAACAGCCCAAGCUCCCAGCUCCCUACUGGUCAAUACAAACCCAACUAUGUGAGCUAUAAAGAGUGGUUGUCCCACUGCAGGAACCUGAGGCUGUCGGCCGAAAACCUGAUCAAGGACUCCUCUUCCUUCAGGGGAAACCUGCGUUUUACUCUGGUCAAUCUAAAAAAUGCCCAUGAGCGCCAGCACCGCAUCACAGAUGAUGCCAUGAGAAAGAAGUUCAAUAAGCUGGCCAGGGUCCAGGAUACACUGAUCUGGGAGAGGCAGCGGACAAGGGAUGAGAUUUCUGAUCUGACAAAGGACAUACAGAAAGUGUCAGUUCAGAUCAGUAACUGUACCUCCAAGCUGCAUCAGGCCACCCACCGCCUGGACAUCCUCCACCAGAGGCCCAGACGUGAGCUCUGCCUGGACCAGCCUCUCUUCAGCGUCAGGCUGGAGAAACAUGACCUGGAAAUCAUGGCAGCUGGACUUUCGCCCCAUACUGAAGCGGUCUCAGUAAGUCUGUCCAUUCACUAAGGAAACAAUUUCACAUCUCUAAUGAGGCCAAAUUGUAUCUGUUGCCUGCUAACUCAUGUCCUACAUGUAGAUAUUUUGACCAUCUUCUUUAUAAUAUCCUAUUUUUUAUGUUAUACCUUAUUUGUAGGCAGGACCUUGAGGUCACAUGCAGGCGCCUGAUCAUUCUGGAUAACAAACUGGCCAACAAUGUUUGUACCAUGGAGUUGGAGCAGAAGUGCCAGAACCUGCACCAUAGUUUCCUUCCUGCGCUCGACACCACUGUGAUCCUCACCAACAAGCCCAGGUUCCACACGGGCCGCUCCAGCGCUCUCUCCUACUUACAGUAGAGCCCGGAAGAGUGCAUUAGCGCUCUACUGCUUCCCUCUGGUCUUUUCCAUGUGGUGUUGCAAAAUGAAAUAAAAAACCUCAAAGAAUAAUUACUUUGGCUCGUCUAGAAUCAGUAUGUGACUCGCCACUGAUU
rnacentral:lncRNA from 1 species